UACGGAGGGAGCUAGCGUUGUUCGGAAUUACUGGGCGUAAAGCGCACGUAGGCGGCUUUGUAAGUUAGAGGUGAAAGCCCGGGGCUCAACCCCGGAAUUGCCUUUAAGACUGCAUCGCUUGAAUCCGGGAGAGGUGAGUGGAACUGCGAGUGUAGAGGUGAAAUUCGUAGAUAUUCGCAAGAACACCAGUGGCGAAGGCGGCUCACUGGCCCGAUACUGACGCUGAGGCACGAAAGCGUGGGGAGCAAACAGG
rnacentral:rRNA from 1 species